rnacentral:rRNA from 1 species
GAUGAACGCUAGCGGCAGGCCUAACACAUGCAAGUCGAGGGGUAGAGGAAGCUUGCUUCCUUGAGACCGGCGCACGGGUGCGUAACGCGUAUGCAAUCUACCUUAUACAGAGGGAUAGCCCAGGGAAAUUUGGAUUAAUACCUCAUAGUAUUAUUGAAUGGCAUCAUUUAAUAAUUAAAGUUCCAACGGUAUAAGAUGAGCAUGCGUCCCAUUAGUUAGUUGGUAAGGUAACGGCUUACCAAGACAAUGAUGGGUAGGGGUCCUGAGAGGGAGAUCCCCCACACUGGUACUGAGACACGGACCAGACUCCUACGGGAGGCAGCAGUGAGGAAUAUUGGUCAAUGGACGAAAGUCUGAACCAGCCAGGCCGCGUGCAGGAUGACGGUCCUAUGGAUUGUAAACUGCUUUUAUACAGGAAGAAACACUCGGACGUGUCCGAGCUUGACGGUACUGUAGGAAUAAGGAUCGGCUAACUCCGUGCCAGCAGCCGCCGUAAAAC